rnacentral:rRNA from 1 species
GUGCCAGCAGCCGCGGUAAUACGUAGGUCCCGAGCGUUGUCCGGAUUUAUUGGGCGUAAAGCGAGCGCAGGCGGUUAGAUAAGUCUGAAGUUAAAGGCUGUGGCUUAACCAUAGUACGCUUUGGAAACUGUUUAACUUGAGUGCAAGAGGGGAGAGUGGAAUUCCAUGCGUAGCGGUGAAAUGCGUAGAUAUAUGGAGGAACACCGGUGGCGAAAGCGGCUCUCUG